CACGUAGGGUGCGAGCGUUGUCCGGAAUUAUUGGGCGUAAAGAGCUCGUAGGCGGUGUGUCGCGUCGGCCGUGAAAACCUGCAGCUUAACUGUGGGCGUGCGGUCGAUACGGGCAUCACUGGAGUUCGGCAGGGGAGACUGGAAUUCCGUGGUGUAGCGGUGAAAUGCGCAGAUAUCAGGAGGAACACCGGUGGCGAAGGCGGUUCUCUGGGCCUGACCUGACGCUGGAGGAGCGAAAUGCGUGGGGAGCGAACAGG
rnacentral:rRNA from 1 species